rnacentral:rRNA from 1 species
UACGUAUGGUGCAAGCGUUAUCCGGAUUUACUGGGUGUAAAGGGAGCGCAGGCGGCACGGCAAGCCUGAUGUGAAAGCCCGCGGCCCAACCGCGGGACUGCAUUGGGAACUACCGGGCUGGAGUGCCGGAGAGGUAGGCGGAAUUCCUAGUGUAGCGGUGAAAUGCGUAGAUAUUAGGGGGAACACCAGUGGCGAAGGCGGCCUACUGGACGGUGACUGACGCUGAGGCUCGAAAGCGUGGGGAGCAAACAGG